AGCAUUCGAGCUCACCAAGUGUUGAAGAGAGGGUCAAGAGAUGCCAAGCAACUCAUGGGACUUUUCUCCCAGAACUUGCUGAAAAUCUACACCAAGUUUACUUAUUACUGCAAGGGGACAUUUGACAGCUUCUACGAUGCCACUUCUACUCUUCCAAGAUAAGAAGUUUCAAGGAAAAUGUUCAUGAAAGAGCUGCUCUCCUCUUAAAGAUAUGAAGAGAAAAACGGAGAGGUAGAAGAGGCAGAGAAAGGAGCAAGAGGAGCAGCAGAAAGAAGAGAAUAAUCCAGAGAAGGACUUGGUCUCUCCAGACGUCAUACUCCUGGUCUGUUAAAGGAAGAUGCUGCACCAAAUAAGUUAUUAUUAAAAUUUUCUGGAUGUAGAAUUUAUGAAGAAAGCUGCGGGCCCAGUUCUAAGGGGUAUGUGCACACACACACACACACACACACACAGUAUAUCUACAAUUCCAAGUGUGCAGUUGGAUCUAGAUUUCUUUUUUUUUUUUUUUUUUUGGAUUUU